GGGGCGAUACCGAAAAGCCUUACGAGUAGGAA
rnacentral:ncRNA from 2 species